GACGAACGCUGGCGGCGUGCUUAACACAUGCAAGUCGAACGCUGAAGCUCAGCUUUUGUUGGGUGGAUGAGUGGCGAACGGGUGAGUAACACGUGAGUAACCUGCCCCCUUCUUUGGGAUAACGCCCGGAAACGGGUGCUAAUACUUGAUAUUCACUGGUCUUCGCAUGGGGGUUGGUGGAAAGGGUUUUUCUGGUGGGGGAUGGGCUCGCGGCCUAUCAGCUUGUUGGUGGGGUGAUGGCCUACCAAGGCUUUGACGGGUAGCCGGCCUGAGAGGGUGACCGGUCACAUUGGGACUGCGAGACGGCCCAGAGUCGUACGGGAGGCAGCAGUGGGGAAAAUUGCGCAAUGGGCGCAAGGCUGAUGCAGCGACGCCGCGUGAGGGAUGGAGGCCUUCGGGUUGGGAACCUCUUUCGCUAAUGGUCAAGCCGCAACAAUGGUUGUGGUGAGGGUAGUGGGUAAAGAAGCGCCGGCUAACUACGUG
rnacentral:rRNA from 1 species